rnacentral:rRNA from 1 species
UACGUAGGGGGCAAGCGUUGUCCGGAAUUAUUGGGCGUAAAGCGCGUGUAGGCGGCCAGAUAAGUCCGCUGUGAAAUCUCGAGGCUCAACUUCGAGCUGUCGGUGGAAACUAUCUGGCUAGAGUCCGGAAGAGGAGAAUGGAAUUCCUGGUGUAGCGGUGAAAUGCGCAGAUAUCAGGAAGAACACCCGUGGCGAAAGCGGCUCUCUGGAACGGUACUGACGCUGAGGAGCGAAAGCGUGGGUAGCAAACAGG